rnacentral:misc_RNA from 1 species
AGAGAGAGAGAGAGAGAGAUUCUGGUGCUCCAAAAUUUUCUCGAUCACAUUUUCUCGGGAAUCUGCUGAUCCAAUCAAGCGAAGAUUCUAAGAAUUAGUGAAUAAAAAUUUCUUAAAACUUGAGAGCAAUGUGUUUUAUUGCCUUUCUUUUUCCACUCCAAAUUUGACUAAUCAACUACCUCAAGGAUUUACGUCUUUCCA